AGCGUUAGCAGAGAUGUGAGCGAAAUAAGAAAGUGAAGCGCCAUGUCAAUAUGGAGAUGGUGAAGGAGAAAAGAGAGAGCAGGAGGAGAAAGAGAACUAAAAAAGAGAAAAAAAAAACCUGUGACAACAAUGAGGGAGAGAAACCAGGAGUAAAUGAGAGGAGAAAAAAAAAAAAUAUUUUGAUCAAUUUACUAAUUCGAAUCGAAUUUACAAAGUCCAAAAUAAAAUGAUCUAUUUUAGCAAAAAUG
rnacentral:lncRNA from 1 species